CGCCCGUCGCUCCUACCGAUUGGGUGUGCUGGUGAAGUGUUCGGAUUGGCGUCAAUUGGCGGUUCGCCGCCGGCUGGCGCUGAGAAGUUCAUUAAACCCUCCCACCUAGAGGAAGGAGAAGUCGUAACAAGGUCUCC
rnacentral:rRNA from 1 species